rnacentral:ncRNA from 1 species
GUAUAUACAAAGACCAGGACAUGAUCGUUUCAGAACUUGGAUCAGAGAGGUUUCCGGAAGGUGCGAGGAAGCUGAAAAGGGAAACGGUUACCGCCUGCGAGUAUCGCUUUUGAAAAAGCGACGAUUCUCAUCGUUAUUGAGCUUGAGUGCCUGUUUCAUGGAAGAAACAGGAAAUAAGGUGGUACCGCGUUGAACAACGUCCUUAAU